UACGUAGGGUGCGAGCGUUGUCCGGAAUUAUUGGGCGUAAAGGGCUCGUAGGCGGUUUGUCGCGUCGGGAGUGAAAACACUGGGCUUAACUCAGUGCUUGCUUCCGAUACGGGCAGACUAGAGGUAUUCAGGGGAGAACGGAAUUCCUGGUGUAGCGGUGAAAUGCGCAGAUAUCAGGAGGAACACCGGUGGCGAAGGCGGUUCUCUGGGCAUUACCUGACGCUGAGGAGCGAAAGUGUGGGGAGCGAACAGG
rnacentral:rRNA from 1 species